ACCAAACAUCAACCAGUAAAUACUCCAUUAUAUCUAUUUAUUAAAUGAUAACAAACAUGUGUUUAAGUGGUACAAGUAAACGAAUGAAAUCAGCCAAUAAAUACGUGAACAGAUAUAUAUAUAUAUAAAUGAAUGAAUAAUAAUAGAUGAGUGUACAGAUACAAAUCCCUUACAGCCGUUUCUUCUUAUAUAUCCUGGGUAAAUUUCCAAUUUACCCCCACCCAUACCGAGUAUUCAAUUGCAAUAUUGACAUGCAAUAGAAAGCACUUGGUUAAAAAUAUGUAGGUACACAUCCUUUAGUAUAUUGGAUAUUUAAUAUCCCUUAGAUGGUUUCUUAACCUCUAAUUCAUACAGAUAUAUACAUACAUAUAUGUGUGUGUGUGUAUAUAUAUAUACACACACAUAUACAUGCUAAUAUAUAAAUACACACACACACACACACGCACACACACACACACACACACACACACACACACACACACACACACACACACAGAGCAUGGGUUUGAUAUAUUUUGUCAGAGCAAUUAUAGUUUUUGUACAGCUGGAUGCUCUUCUUAUCCAUUCAACUGUGAAGAAGGCUUGAAGCCUGUCUUUUUUGUAGCAGACCUAUUACUGCCUCACUCUGGCUCUAUGAACUUAUGAUUGUUUAAUUAGCAGUCCAUCACCUCUACCUCACAGACAUUUCCCAGAUAUAGUUGUAGCAGUGAUUAUGGUGUUGGUGUGUAAUGAUCCUGGUGGUGCUGUGAGCGUUAUUGAUGGGUAAUGGAAAAUAUUUGGGUAGAUAUGUAUAUAAAAAAAAAACUGUGCUAUCACUAUGCUUCACUGUAUAAACAUGUGCACACUAUAUACAAUGUGCACAGUCUUUAUUUUCUAUUAUAAUUCCAUUCCCAUCAGCAUCAUCCACAUCAUCAUGUAAUGUCUAUUUUCCCUGCUGGCAUGGGUUGGCUAGUUUGACAGGAUCUGGUGAAGUACAGGGUUGCUUUGAAUUCCAAUGUCAGCUCUAGCAUGGCUUUUAUGGCUGGAUGCCCUUACUAACACCAACCACUUUACAGUGUGUAGUGGAUGAUUUUUUUUUUUUUAUGCCAUCAGCACUAGUGAGGUUACAAAGUAACUUACAAGACAGGAAAAGAACAAGAAAAUGCCCUCUGGACUAAGUGGGGCUAAGAGAACUUGAGAAAGGGAGGUCACUUUAUGCUAGAUGUUGGGAGACUAAAAUAUAAUACAUGGACAUGCAGCACAAGUGUCUUGUUAUAGAGAAGAUACAUAGAUACCCCACAUUACAUAAAGGUGGGUGUGAGUAGCUGGGAAUAAGGUAAAGAUAGUAGUGAUGGGGUGCUCAGACAAACCCUGAAGGUAGAAGAAGGUGAGCAUAAGACAAGAUGCAGAUAGUGGAUCAGAGGAUGGUGUUGGAUUGGUGAAGGAGUGAAUGGAUACUUUCAUAAGAGUGUGAGGGAGAGUAACAGAUGAUUAAAGAUUGAGGUAGGGGUGAAUGCUGUAAGUAUUGAACAAGGAUGGAGAUGAUUCUUUAUAGGAAUAUCAAAUUCAUUUUGUCUUAUUGAUCCCAGAAGGAUGAUGUGUAAAUCAAAGUUGACCUUGACGUGAUUUGAACUCAGAAUGUAAAAUGCUGUAACUCAAUACUACAAUUCUGGCAGUAUAUCAUCUACACCAAAGAAGAAUGAUGAUAGCUAUUCAAAACACAUGUAGAUUCUUAUUCUUUCACUGGGGGAUCAAUGAUUUUAUUCGGGGAUAUUUCCCCAAUUUGCUAUUUCAGUCUGGUACUUAUGUUAUUGCCCUCUGUUUGUCAAAUUGCUUAAUGGCAAGACAUAAAUCGAACAUACAACUUAUACACACACAUAUAAACAUAUACGUGUGUGUAUACAUAUAUAUACAUGUAUAUGCACACACACACAUACACAUAGACAAAUAUAUAUAUAUAUAUAUAUGUGCCAGUGGCACAUAAAAAGCACCCACUACACUCAUGGAGUGGUUGGCGUUAGGAAGGGCAUCCAGCUGUAGAAACACUGCCAGAUCAGACUGGAGCCUGGUGCAGCCUCCUGGCUUUCCAGACCCUGAUCAAACUGUCCAACCCAUGCUAGCAUAGAAAACGGACGUUAAACGAUGAUGAUGAUGAUGAUAUAUAUAUAUAUAUAUAUAUGUAUAUACAUAGGCGCAGGAGUGGCUGUGUGGUAAGUAGCUUGUUUACCAACCACAUGGUUCCUGGUUCAGUCCCACUGCGUGGCACCUUGGGCAAGUGUCUUCUACUAUAGCCUCGGGCCGACCAAAGCCUUGUGAGUGGAUUUGGUAGACGGAAACUGAAAGAAGCCCGUCGUAUAUAUGUAUAUGUCUGUGUGCGUGUAUGUUUGUGUUUGUCCCACUAGCAUUGCUUGACAACCGAUGCUGGUGUGUUUAUGUCCCCGUCACUUAGCGGUUCGGCAAAAGAGACCGAUAGAAUAAGUACUGGGCUUACAAAGAAUAAGUCCCUGGGGUCGAGUUGCUCAAUUAAAGGCGGUGCUCCAGCAUGGCCACAGUCAAAUGACUGAAACAAGUAAAAGAGUAAAAGAGUAAUAUAUUUGUCUAUGUGUAUGUGCAUACAUAUAUAUAUAUACAUGUAUAUACACACACACAUACAUAUAGACAAAUAUAUAUGUGUGUGUGUGUGUGUGUGUAUGUGUGUGUAUGUAUGUAUAUACAGGAUGGCCCCAAAUUCGCUUUACUAUUUAAUACAUUCAAAUAUAUUAAAAGGUAGCUUGAAUUUUGUGCUACCCUGUAUAUGGACAUAGGCAUGCUAGCAUGGUUAAGAAGUAGUUUGCUUCUCAAGCACAUGGUUUUGGGUUCAGUCCCACUGUGUGAAACCUUGAGCAAGUGUCUUCUGCUAAAUCUUGAUAUUGACCUAUGCCCUGUGAGUGGAUUUGGUAGAUGGAAACUGAAAGCAGCUCAUCAUGUGUGUAUGUGUGUGAUUAUCAUCAUUUUAACAUCCACAUUUUCAUGCUUGCAUCAGUUAGAUGAAUCUUGCUGAAGCAGAUUUUUCGACAGCCAAACUUCUUCUGUAGAGAGAGUUUUGUUCACAAAGAAUUGGUCAACUCAAGGUUAUUACAGAUGAUAUUUGUACAAGAUGUUGCACAGUGGGAUUGAACCUGUUGUGAGCUUGUGUAUUUGUGUGUUUGCUGAAGACCAUUGUCAUGUGGUUGGUCAUUAGAAAGAAUAAUGCUGGAUCUUUAAAUUGUAAGAUCAGACUAGUUGAAUGUGACAUGAAAUAAGCAAACUCACAAACAUACAACCAUAUUUCAUAUAUUUACUGCAUAUCACACACACACACAAAUUACCAUGUAUUCUCUGGUUAUCAGAAUAGUAAGUAGAGAUAGAUUUGCUGCAUUGGCUUAAACAUUAGCUCUCUGGAAAAAAAAAUGCAGAUACAAAUACUGCCACACCUUGUUGAAUCUUGGAGAAGAGAACUGCGAUGCGUCUUGUUUGAAAGCUAGCUGUGGUCUGCCAUGAUCUGUCUUGCUUGAAGGUUAAUUGUGGUCUUCUGUGGUUUAGGUGCCAAACUGUUUAACUAAGGUAAAAGAGCAUAAAUUUCUAGAAUAUACAAGAAGCCUUUCAUGCUACAGCUUCAAGCUGAUUGGUUGAUUUUUAGAUCAAUCACAUGAAAACUGCAGUGGAACACUCAUGAGUGCAAACUGAUAAUUUCACAGUUGGGGUUCAAAUCUCUGCAAACUCAGAAUCCCAUGAUCAUGAAAUUGACUUCUUAAGAAUACAAGUAUGCUUUAUCUAUUUUUGAUUUAUUCUGUGAUAAUAUGUAUUGUCCCACUGAGAUGAUAUCCUGUUAAGAUCAACUUUGUAUUUUAACCUUCCAUGGUCGUUAAAGUGAAGUACUUGUCAAGUACUGGGUUCAGUUCUGCUGAAGUAGACCAAACACAAAAUGGGCUAGCAUGCAAUAAUAGAGUUUAAAUCAGUGUUGCCCCACCAGCAGUUGGAAAAAAAAUUUAAAUUCAAUAUUUUAUCACAAUUAUUUAAUACAAAAGAAUCUACCGGUAACUCUUUUAUUAAGUACUGAAUACACAAAUGAAAGCACAUUAUUGACUAAGAAAAAACGUGAAUCGUUUUAUGAGAACCUUGUGCCUGACGUCUAUGGCGCCACGCUCCACCACAAUUUUCCCAGCCCCACCGGUGGGGCGUAUGCCCUAUGUUGGGAAUCACUGGUCAAAAUCCUUGUCAACUAACAAGUGAAGUGACAUUUCUAUUGGAGUACACUGCUGACACAUAAGCUAUCCAUCUUUAAUGAUAGGACACACACACUAUCGUUCUUUCACAUAUACUGACACAGAUACUAUCUCUCUAAAUGCAAACCCCAUGAAAAAGCAUAAUGGAAAAUACUAGGAUUAUAUACUAUUUCAUAACAUUGUUGUUGCUGUGAUGCAGUAACAUAGUCCGUGACUCGGUCAGGGAUGUACAACUAAAUACUUUGACAUAACAUACAUAAAAUCAAAAGUCGCUAUGACAUUAUAUGGUUUUAAAUGACUAGGAUGUCUCUCCUACGAUAUAAUUGUUAUAGAUUCAACAGCCAACCUAAGAUCAAGUCAAACAAGUACAACUGUGAAAUGUAUAUUCACAUAGUCAUAUAGAUGUAUUUACAUACACUGGGUGUAUUUGUAACUGUUUAUUGUUUUUAAAGGCCUUCGUUUUCUUGUCAGAGGCAUUGACGCAAGUAGUGAAGCCCUUCUAAAUCAGGGAUUGAAACCUUUGUUACCGGUUCUCACUUUUCCGUUAUAUGCUGUAGCUAUGAAAAUAAAUUAUGAUGGCAGCAAUAGCAAUUGAGUAUGGGUGUGUCGUGUAUUAGUGAGAAACCUAGACAGUUAUAGAACAUCCUAUAAAAUGAAAUUGCAGAGGAGGAGUGAGAAUUAAUGAGAGGAAGGUGGGAAAUCAUUGAACGUAGCUCCUUGACAACUGAACCACGCUACGUUUUUUCUAUUUCUCUCUUUACGUUGGCUUCUUUCUUGUUUACACGUACAGAAGUAAUAUUACAUAGUCUGUCUGUCUAUCUCUUUCUCUCUCUCUCUCUCUCUCUCUCUCUCUCUCUCUCUCUCUCUUUUACUCACAUACACAUAUGCCCCCGCCAUCUUUCUCACUCACACCCGUUAUUAUCUUGCUCUUUUUCCUACUCACACUAUCCUCACUUUUUCGCACACAGAUUCAACAUUUAAAAUGGUUUUCCCACCAAUUUGUGAACAUUUCACUUCAGCUACGUAUCAAAUACUUUCCCUAAGUUGAGUCAUUCAAAAUGCUGGUCUCAACAGACUAAAAGGGCUGAAAGUUCAAAUCAUGUAACCAGGACUGCGCUUUGUCAUUGGCAAAGACACUUAAACCUUUAAUAGUUCAGUCGACUUAGCUUAAAAGAAACGGUAAUAAUCUUUAUAUAUAAAAGUGAAGUUGUGUGUCUGUCUCCUACGAUUUAGAUUCCUUACUCCCACAUUUUGCGGUGCAGUUUAACCAAAACCGGGUAUCUUAUAGUCGUGAUUCAUAUCGAGCCCUUCUGGGUAUUAGCGCGCGUCUACGAUUAAAAAAAAAAUUUACCAUAAUUUUUUUCCAUUUUAAUGCAUUUUUUGGCUAUUAUAUAAGGGAAGUAACUCUCUAAAAAUGUCUACGAUGAGUCACGAUUUAAAAAAAAUUUACCAUCAUUUUUUUGCUAUUUUUUUGGCUAUAACUCUCUAAAAAUGCUUAUAUAGUUAUUUCCCUUACAAACCCGAGCAACGCCGGGCGAUACUGCUAGUUUAAUCAUAAAUAUGAGUGUGUUAAUUCCUCUCCGACAAAUUAAUUUUAUAUGUAGGUAUUAUAUAACUGGAAAAAGUCAAAUGGUCGAUUUGAUAGUUUAUCAACUCAGUCUGCAUGUUCAAAUUUAUUGUUAAUGUUUUUCUGUGACUGCUCAAAACAUUUAUUCCACGUCCUUCAGUUUAUCAGGUAUUGUAAAUGAAUAUCAAAUCACCUGAAAAGCUAUCUGCCAAGAACGGCCUUUAGUGCACAGUUGAGGUGAUUCGUUUAUCUUCUUAAAACUACUGCAUAACCUUAAUUAUGUAGCGGCUCUGUGGAUCCAAGUUUUCCAUGUUUUUGUUAUUACUCACUAACUUAAAGUCCACUUGUCCUUAAGUUGUCCAGUCAAGAAAAUAACCCAAAUAAAAUCAAUAUAACAACUCAUCCAAUAAUAUACACGUGCACACACACACAGGCAAAAGAUACAUAGGUAACAACAUAGUUCCAAGUUCGAGUCCGUUACGCGACAUUUUGGACUAAUGUCCGUCGUCCGUGAGUGUGAAUGAGUGUCUAAAUCGAUGUCAGUGUUCAUAUUUACGUGUCUAAAGGCUGACGUUGUGUAUGUUCUGUCCGUGUACAUUGGUUCAACAAAUAAUCAUCACCACAAUCCUUGAUCGAUUAAACCUUUGAAUGCGAUGUCCCAUCAUAGUCAGAUGUUUGAUUGAAAUCAGCGAAAGAAUAAAUGCAUUCACAUUUAACAUCAGCCACAAAGCACGUUUAAUUUUAAUCAAGUAAACCAAAAAAUAGAUUUACUGACAUUUUUCAGAAUCUUUCUAUUAAAAAAAAUUUUUUUAUUCAAUUAUCUCCCAGAUAUAGUUAAGCUUAAUUACAAUAUUUUUCAAUGAAAUAUCUCCAUUACAUAAAUAUAUUGAUUUUUAACAUUGGAACAAAGGUACAAAUUCAUAGAGGGAAGGGGUAUAGUCAAACCAUUUAAGAGAGCAUUGAAGAAAAUGCCUGUAGUAUUUAGUUUCGACCUUUAACAUUUUGAGUUCAAAUCUUACUGAGGUAAUCUUUACUUUCAUCUUUCUGGGUGUUGAUGAAAUGAAGUCAAGUAAUGGGUCGGUUUAUAUUCCUAUAAUGCAUUGAUAAAAUAAAGAAUCAGUCAAAAAUUGGAUGAAUUGAUUUAUAAUAAAAGAUCGUUGUACUGAUAGUUAUUUUAUUGAUUCCUGGAGUGACGAAUGACAAUGUUAAAGGGGAGUGACGAAUGACAAUGUUAAAGGAUAUCACUAAAUUUUGUAUAGGCACAGGCAUGGCUGUUGUGAUGAAGAAGCUUGCUUUCUAACUAUGUUGUCUUAGCUUCAGUCCCACUGCAUGGUACCUUGAGAAAGUCUCUUCUGCUAUAGCUUUGAGUUAACCAAAGCCUUGUAAGUGGAUUUCGUGGACAGAAACUGUGUGGAAGCCAGAAUGUAUAUAUAUAUAUAUAUGUAUGUAUGUAAAUUUAUAAAUAAGGAUAAGAUCGAUAUUUAAAUAUCGAUCUUAUCAAGUGGCCAGCAUGGGAAUAAAAACCUUUAAAACUAUAAAUUAGGGUAUCUGAGAGAUACCACCACGCUGAAAUAGCAGUCAAAACCUGACCCUAAAGCCACAUUAAAUGUUCAUAUAGCAUUAGGAGUGUAGACAGAGAGACAAAAUAAACUAGCAAAAACUUUUUGUGUGUUUGUGCUAUGUUUGUCCUCCCACUGCUACUUGACAACUGGUGUUGGUUUGUUUACAUUCCUGUAACUUAGCUGUUCAACAAAAGAAACCGAUAGAAUAAGUAUCAAGUUUAAAAAAUAAGUCCUGGGAUCUAUUUGUAAGCCCUUCAAGGUGGUGCCGCAGCAUUGUUGUAGUCCAAUGACUAGAACAAGAAAAAGAUAAAAGAAGAAAGCCUUGUAAUCACCAUUCUACAAACCCUUACAUGGUUUGCUUGUUGUUGUUUAGCACCAAGUUAACCUUGAUCUAACGGACUUAUUACCAAUGGUGUUUCAACUAAGACCAAAUCUACUUUUUAAGGGUAUAUGGGACUACAUUAUCUAAUGUUUCCUUUCUUAUUUAAUCCUUUAGCAUUCAGAUUAUUUUGUCAAAUGUAAUACUUAUUUAUUUAUAUUGUUUUGAAUUAAUCAUGCAUUAUCUUGGAGCUUUGAAAUUUCAGCCAUAUGAUUGUUUAUUUUUACAAUGACAUUGUAGGGUAGGUUUGAGAGGUCAGAUCUGGCUGCUUUGAACAUAAAACAGGUAGAAUAUUUGGGCUAGAUAUGGCCAGUUUAAAUUCUAAAGCAUGAAGAAGGUAAGAUGUGAUUUGAAGGAGAUAUUCUUUUAUUCUUUUAUUUGUUUCUGUUAUUUGACUGCGGCCAUGCCAGAGCACCACCAUUAGUUGAACAAAUCAACCCCAGGACUUACUCUUUGUAACCUUAAUACUUAUUCUAUCAGUCUCUUUUUCCCGAACCGCUAAGUUACAGGGAUGUAAACACAACAGCAUCAGUCGUCAAGCGAUGUUGGGGUGACAAACACAUGCACACACAAACAUACACACACACACAGACACACACACACACACAGACACACACACAUAUACACUGGGCUUUUUUUCAGUUUCUGUCUACCAAAUUCACUCACAAGGCUUUGAUCAGCCUGAGGCUAUAGAAGAAGACACUUGCCCAAGGUGCCAUGCUGUGGGACUGAACCCAGAAUCAUGUUGUUAGUAAGCAAGCUACUUACCACAGAGCCAUGCUUUUUAUAGCAAGUUGAGCGACUAUACUAAGAUUCCCUUGUUGGAUUAGUUGUCAUGAGUAGGUAAAAUUUUAAGAUAAUCUUUGAGUUUCUCUUAUAAUGAUUCGAAGUAAAGACUUUCUGUAAGGUAUCUCUUGGUUUACAGUUCUAAAACUAAAUAUUUUUAUUGUUAUUAAAAGGUAAACACUGCAAUUUGGUUUGAUAAUUAAAUUAUGAAUUAAAAGCAGCUCUAGUAAUAUAAAUAUUAUCAAUUGCACAUACAUGGUGUAUGUGCUUUGUUUAAAUGCCAUUUGCUGUGGGAUAGCAUCCAGGGAGAGCUCCAUACAUAUUUCUGACUAUUAAAGAACACUGAAUGUUCCAGACCAGGCUAGACAAUUGGUGUUGAGUGAGCGAGAAUGGUAGAUACCAAUAUUUUACCAUUUUUGUGGUUUAUCCAUACUAAUUCAUACCAUGUACUUGGAUCACUUUGAAAUGAAAUGAAUCACUGGUCUGGGACUUAUAUGCAAAUAGAGUGAAGUCUAUUUGCUGAUGUGCUUUUUAGUUUGAUAUGUUGUUGUCUAUUUGCUCUAAGAAAAUGGAUUUGCGUGUAGUUUGUAAAAGAUGAUUUAAAAUCUUAACCCUUUAGCACUUAAACUUACCAUAUCUGGUCCAAAUAAUCUACUUGUAUUAUGUUCAAACUGGCCAUAUCCAACCUCUCACUCCUACCCUGCAAUGUCAUUCUAAAAAUAAAGAACCACAUCUUCAAAAUCUCAAAGCCACAAGAUAAUACACGAUUAAUUUUAAAAAGUGUGAAUAAAAAAGCAUUACAUUUGACAGUGUAAUCUGAAUGCUAAAGGGUCAAACACUAUUUGUUGCCUUAAUUGGGCAAAGAUUCAGAGCAGAUGUACCUACUUCAUGAGAAUUGUUAGAAAAAAGAACGUAAUAUAUGUUGUAUAAGGCACAGAAAUACUAAGAUAGAAAAGAAAGAAAAAAAAAGCUACCAUUUUCUGCCAUGAGUUAUUCAGGAACUCUAUCCUUAAUUAUUGUUGGUGGUUUUGUAAAUUUGGACUGAGAAUAUAGGUUUUCUUUUUGGUUUUUAGUUCUUUCUUUUUUUUUUUUUUAAUUUAGAGUCUUGCUAGGAAACAUGGUAAUGUUGUAGUUAUUAAAAUAACAAUGGAUUAAUGAUGUUUACAAUAUUUGAUUUUUGGUCUUUACAUUGAUUUAAUAUUCAUGUCAAUAUAUGAUUUCAAUCACAAGUUUAUUUUCUGUAAUUUUCGAUAAAAUUAGUAAUUCAUUUCAUAUAAUUACUAAGAUAUUCUAUUGAGAAUUAAAGAUUUAUCUCUACCACCUCAAUAGUUUAUAAUUGUUUUGUACAAACCAACAAGGGAAUCCCUCAGUGAUUGUUUGCUCUGCUAGAAGCAGCAACCAAUUCUCUCUCAAACCAUGUUAGUUAAUGUGAUCCUGAGUCCUAUACACAUAGAAAAAACUAGAAGAUUAUGACUGGAAUGCUUUUUAUCCUAGGUAUACUUUAUCACUUAAUGUUAUACAUGAAUUUAUUUCAAAAUCUUUACAUUUUGUGCAAUGUUUUACCAUUUCUCCAUUGUGUGUAAUGUUUUACCAUUGUGCAUAUCUAGGCACAAGGUCAUGAAUUUGAGGAGGGGUGUAGUUUUAUUAAACAUUGUUACUUCACUGGUACUCCAAAAGGAUAAAACACAAAGUUGACUGUAGCACUACUUAAACUCAGAAGGCAACUAAAUAUUGCAAUGCAUUUCAUCUGAUCUCUACAUCAUGCCAUCCUCGACUUCUAUUCGUAUGAUGUUAUUAAUAGUUUCUAACAUAAAAAGCUGUGGAUUGACAUAAUUAGUAGAGAAUUGGACAGAAUAUUUUGCAGUAUUUAUUAACUGAUCUUUAUAUUACGAGUCCAAAUUCUGCUGCAGUCCACUUUAUUUCUAUCCUUAAGUGUUGAUAAAAUACACCACCAAUCAUGUACUGAGCUUGAUAUAUCAGCUAUACUCUGUUCUCUAAAUAUGGAGUUUUGCACUAAUGUUAGACAUUGAUAAUGUUUUCUGACAUAGACACAGUGCCCUACAUUUUAAGGAUGGCAUAAUUGAUUAAAUCUAUUUCAGUACAUGGUCAAUACAUAUGAGACUUUUUAAAUCUAGAAUUUUUGAAGCCUGGCCAUAACUGGACUAUAAGAAAAUGCCAGAAAACAGAAACUGAUCCUAAGGCAAGACUGUAUGUAAACAUAAUUUUGCCAUUUCAUUUCUCAUAUAUAUUGAUGUCUUAUCAAAGCCAGAACAAAGCUUAAAAUGAGAAAUGCUAAAAUUAAUAAUGCUUUCAAGCACAGUUUUUAUUGUUCUCUGCAAUAUAGUUUAAAACUUGACAAUAGGAAAAUGUCAUCUUAGAAAACCACACUGAAGUUCAUGGAUGACCUGAAGUUAUACUUUGCACUGUUUGUCAUCCAGUCAAAGAAAAUUGAGAAUAUUGCAAAAGACAGAAAGCAAUGGAAAUAUUUCUGUCAUCUUGGCUGUAAAUUCUUUGGGCAAGGCAGAAAACACAAGGAAGAUCAAAAAUGUCAAAUAAAAAAAGGGAAGACUUUCCACCAUCAGUGAAAAAAGAACUAAUGAUUCCAUGCAGAGAAUGGUAUUGAAUGUUUUGAUCAAAUUUACAUCAUUGCAGUCACCUGAGAACCUGUGUUAGAAAAAAAAAACAAUACAAAAGCAAUUGUAGUAAGAGGGACAAUUUCUUGGAUGAAGAAAAACCUCUAUAAGUUGUAAGCAAAACAUAAUAGUACAAAGUUCAAACUUAUGACACAGGUUCAAAAUAUACUGGAUCAUAAGGCGUGUUUAAGAGUUUCAGCCUGAACUUUAUUUUACAGACCAUGGAAGAAUGGUUUGUCAAUUUUGCUGCCCACUACAGUUUCCACAGUUUCCAUAUAAUGCUAAUAAUGUCUAUGGAAAGAAAUCAAUGCCAUCAUAAUUUCCCAAUGUAUUUUUGUCUCCAGCCUUAUUUGUCCAUAUUUUAGAAUCCAAAGGACAAGAACAAUAUGAUAACCACUAGAAAGAAGUACUUGACAAAAAUGACCUCCUUUUCAAAGCACUAAGAUCCUUAUCCACUUGUAUGUUAUUGUCAGCACUGUAAUAUUCUUGCUCCACUAUUAUGCUGUAGUGAUAUUCUGCAUCUUAUUAUCUUUGACUUGUCAAUCAUGCUAUUGCUAAUAGCUCUGCAAGACAAUGACUUUGAAACGUCUUCCUUGAGAGUAACCCGAACUCGUAUAUAUCACAUAACUAACACUGACUCCAACUUAAAACUCAUACAAUGAUUCUACUACUACUAACUUCCUCCAACAACUGACUAUCUGACUUUAUAGUGGCUCUCUCAUAUCACUUUGUCAUGUAAGAAGUGGAGUACUAUUUUCAUUACAACAAAAAACAAGUUGUUACUUUUCCAUGAACAGAAAUCCCAAUGGAAUACAUCACUUAAGAUAAAAAAUAUUGCACCACAAACUAUAUAAAAACGUGUAUGGACAAGCAAUUGUUGCACUGGAUAACCUUAAUGAAAGUCUAGAGGGAAGACAAAACUGAGAUGUAGUUGCAAUUGCAAAUAUAUUGAAUAAAUGUUAACUUAUGAUUUAUUACUUACAAUAAAUGUUUACUUAUUACAACAAAGGUUUACCCAUAAAUGUUUACAAGUAAACUGAGGCCUACAUCUAGGAUGCUAUUGCUGUUAUGCACACAGACAUCCUGGACUACAUCCAGAAAAGGGUCACUCAAACUGAUUGGCAUUCAAUCAUGAAUUAACAUUUUCUAGCCUCUGGCUCACAUGCAUGCUGUGUCCUUUCUGUAUUUUCUAUCACUACUGUGAUACUAUUGUGCUGGCACUCCUGACUCAUUCCUCAUUCCACAUCUUGUGAGUUUUGUUGUGUUCAACCCUCUUCCCAUCCCUGUAAUAAUCACUAUGUUUGGCCCUCAGCAUUUUUUUCUAAUAAUUCAAAAUAUAGAUAUACUCUUUUAAUAAAUUGCUGUAGAAAGUAAACAAAGUCAUUUCAUCACAGAUUAUAUUUCUCUGUGAGCAAAAGAAGGGACCAAUCUGAUUAAUUUCUAAUGAAUUUGUUUUGACUCCCAUGUAAUUUUUAACCAUUCACUAGUUUAUUGAACCAAUGAGAUAGUAGUACCUCUUAGUAACACACCGGAUAUACAACAUGGAACUCAAAGCUAUUCAUACAUGCACAUAUACACAAUACAUAUACAUACAAAUACGUAUGCACACACACAUAUAUAAGCCAAAAUGACAUGUAUGAGCACUAGUCUAUGAGAGCAAUAGCUCCCAAUAAGAAGAGUCUCUUUCCAACUCAUACUAGCAUGGAAAGUGAAUGUAAAAUGAUGAUCUUUCUUUUCUCUCAACAAAACACAGAGUAAGCGGUUUGGUUUUUAUUUUUGGUCCUGUCAAAACACAGCCAGAGCAGAAUCAAUUUCUCUGACUUUCAAUCAGUUAGUUCUAAUACAAGACCUGUUCUAGUUGAACCUGAUAGCAAUUUGCCAGAUCUCGAUUCCAUUAGAUCCCAUCAUUGAUUCCCUUUAUUUUUUCUUGAGUAACAGUUUCCUUUCACACAAUAAAUGCACCCAAAAAAGAGCUUUAAUUCAAACACAUCUAUAUAACACUACUUCUACAUCACAUUUAACUCACCCUCUUUUUUAUAAUUCUAAUUGAAAUUACCUGCUUUUCUUUGUAUGAAUUAUUGUUUCAUACCUAUCUGUUGCACCACUUUGAAUCAUAGUAGUACUCACGUCAACAGAGGUCUAACUUCUAGUAGUGUUUAGAAAAUAUAUAUAUAUAGCUAUAGCUGCAGGACUGACCAAAGCACUGUGAGAGGAUUUUGAAGGUGAAAACUGAAAGAAGCCUGAUAUAUAUAUAUAUAAUAUAAUAUAUUAUUAUUAAUAUCAGGAAAUCAAUAUUAGAAAAUUUUUCAGAAAGAUAUAUACGUGUGUAAAAUAAUUGUUGUAUUAAAUAUAUGAAUAUAUGUAAAUAUGUAUAAGUAUAAAUAUAUAAUAAUGAUAUUUUAAAAGUUUCGAAUUAAAUUUUUAAAGCAUCAUACGGUCGUUUCGCAGAAGUGCUGUCCCUAUAAUGGAAUCCUAUAUUGAUAAGCAUUUAUAAACAACUCUUCUGCUCUUCAGAGAUAUAAAAUGUGAAAUUUGUAUAAUUUAUCGAAUGGUAGUUUUUAAAAAUAUGAAGUAAUAUAGGAAAAUGGUGUUUGUUUGAAAUAUAAAAUAAAAUUAAAAAUUACUGCUUUUGAUUUUGGUAAGUACACUUUAGUAUGAGAGUCUUUAAAUCCAUAUAUGCUUCCUUGGUAAUUCUUCUGUAAUAAUCCAUAAUAGUUAUGUGUAAAAUCCAUUAUAUUGUCUUAUAUUCCAAAUAUAGUUUAUAGACUUAGAUAAUAUAGAAUAAGGAAAUCCUAUAUUGAUAAGCAUUUAUAGAUAACUCUUCUGCUCCUCAGAAAUGUCAAAUGUGAAAUUUGUAUAAUUUAACAAAUGGUAGUUUUUUUUAAAUUAUGAAAAUGGUGUUUGUUUGAAAUAUAAAUUAAAAAUUAAGAAUUACUGCUUUUGUACUUACCAAAAUCAAAAGCAGUAAUUUUAAAUUUUAUUUUAUAUUUCAAACAAACACCAAUUUCCUAUAAUUACUUCAUAGAAAACGGUGAAAGGGAGAAAAAAGAAUAAGAGAAGAGAUGAGAGAGAAAAAUUGAAAUGGGGAGAAGGGGAGAAAAAAAGAAUUAGAGAAAGGAAGAGAGAGAACAGUACAAGGUAGAGUUGCAUCAAAAUUAUUAAGAUAAACUUACAUGGAAAUAGAUGCGUGGCAUUCAAUCAUAUAGUAAUAUAAAUAUAUAUAUAUAUAUAUAUAUAUGUGUGUGUGUGUGUGUUUAUAUAUUCAUUUUGUAAGAUUCUUGAUGUGAAAUCGUGUGUCGAAACAGAUAUUGUAUUUGGGGAUGGUCAUGUUGCCAGUUUGGCCGAUAAAAACACAUGCACUAUAUAUUUGGUGUUAAUUUGCUUCAGCUUUAUUUUAUUCUUUACAUUAAUCGUAUUUCAGCCAGAGUUCUUUUGUCACACUUCUGUGACCUCAUCAGUGGUCCUUUCUUAUUUGUGUGUCUUUCCUUACUGAUGAUCAGCCAUUUUGUAUUCCUAUUGUAUGUAUCUUUAUUUUCGCAUGUGUAUACCCCUAUGUGUGUCUAUGUUUAGUAAGUGCAUGUGUGUGUGUGUGGGGGGGGGAGAAAUGUCUGCAUUAUCCUUAUUUGUCUUUACCUUUGAAAUGUGGAGUAGAUGAAACAGGGACAACUGAUGAAGGGGAAUAUUCUUUAUGUUGCAUGUCUUGUUUCUCUGUUGUUUUCGUUGUUCGAAAAAAGGUAGUUUUCUAUAUUUUUGUUUUUAUGUUUUCGUUUCUCAUUGUGUUCAACGUUUUUUGAUGUCCUGUACCCAUAUAUGCAUGUAUAUAUACAUAUGCAUGUAUAUAUGCAUAUAU
rnacentral:lncRNA from 1 species